AUAACAAUACAGGACACUUUAGAGGCUCUGUAAUUGUAAUGAGUCCACUUGAAAUCCUUUAACUCUGAUCAAUUAGAGGGCAAGUCUGGUGCAGAGCGACUGACCCGUGCGUGCUGCAGCUGAAA
rnacentral:rRNA from 1 species